AGGAAGGCUGUGCUUCCCUCUACUCCAUACUGCACUGUCUCCAGCGUGUUCUUAUUGGCUGGCAGGAAUUAAAACAAAAUACCAUCUAAAGCAAUAACCAAAAUCAAAAAGAGUUCUUUUACUUCUCCCAAAGGUUGCCAUACUUCACAUCUUGCCUCCGACUCCGCCUACAAGAUUUAGACAACCAAUUUCAAAGGAGGAAAUGAAUUCAAACAAAUCUUCGAGAGCAGGACUUUCCAUCCCAGGCACAGUAAGGAUCUCUGGCCAAGCAGCAGUCAGCACAGGCCUCUCCGUACACAUCACACCUGUGCAGCGCCAGAUGAGUAACACCCACCACUGAACUCACAUACAGCUGUUGCUACACAGGAAGAUGGGGGGGGGGGACAGUUAGAAGAGUAUCAUUCAAAACACAUCAUAGAGAACAUGUGAAGAAUAUGUUCCAUAUUUGUAAGUUGCUUUGCAUAAAACCAUCUGCUAAAUAAUCAGUUUUAAAACUAUAUUUAAUAUUAUUACUAUUAAUAUUUCAAAAUGUAUUUUAAAAAAUGUUGUGCUUACCCGUUUUGGAGAAAUUUUCAUAGUAGUGAUUGGAGUUGGAACCUGUAAUAAUAAUUAUAGUUAUAUUUUAUAAUAAUAAAAAAAAUAGUAUUUAACAAUAAAGAGUAUGUUGACACAAAGUGUAAUGUAAAUAUAAAUAAAAAAAGGAUCUUACUCUGAAGACCUCGACCUCCUCCAGCACCAGCUCUUCAGUCUGAAGAUCAUCUCUGGGCAGUAUGAUCACUUUCUGAAUAGUUCCUUUAUCUGUAAUUGACCAGAAUAUAGGAGUCAGAGAUAUUUAUAAAAUAGAAUAUUCUUUUUGAGUGAAUAAAGAAUAAAGUUUCCUUUCUUUUUCUGAAAAGCUUUAGAAAAAGGCUUUUAGACCACUCAGUAUGAAUGAAUGAGGCAUAUUUAUACAGCACUUUUAUUGUGUCUUUCUGUAUGCAGUAUGUAUACUUUCUCUAAACAGUGUGUAUACUGUUUAUGUAUCAAAUAAAUAUAUAACUUAAAACGUGUAUCAAGUUCACCUGUUCCCAAGAAAAGAACUUCAUAGUUGCCAUCAACUGCAGCCACUUGGUCCACUGUGAUGGUGGUGAACUCAUAAUCCACAUUGGUACGGACCACUAGAGGGCGCUUGUGGACUGGAUAAACAGCAUUGAACAUGGUCGGAUGGUUGCGCAUGAAGUUGAUAACCUCAUCAGGGUAGUCUUUAGUAGAUUUCAUGUUAGGGGUGAACGUCCCUCCUGGACACUGAAAUCACAGGGAUAACAUUUGUAUUCCAGCAUUUAAGACUGUCCAACAUUAACUAUCUUGUUCAUAUGAUGUACAAACCCGAUUCCAAAAAAGUUGGGACACUGUACAAAUUAUGAGUAAAAAAAAUCAAAUAAUUUACAAAUCUCAUAAACUUUAAUUUUAUUCACAGUAAAAUAUAGAUAACAUAUCAAAUGUUGAGUGAGACUUUUUUGAAAUGUCAUGCCAAGUAUUGGCUCAUUUUGGAUUACAUUAGAGCUACAUAUUCCAAAAAAGUAAAAAACAAAAAAACAAAAAAAAGGUCGGAAAAGUUAAAUGUACAUAUAAGGAACAACUGGAGGACCAAUAUGCAACUUAUUAGGUCAAUUGGCAACAUGAUUGGGUAUAAAAAGAGCCUCUCAGAGUGGCAGUGUCUCUCAGAAGUCAAGAUGGGCAGAGGAUCCCCAAUUCCCCCAAUGCUGUGGUGAAAAAUAAUGGAGCAAUAUCACAAAGGAGUUUCUCAGAGAAAAAUUGCAAAGAGUUUGAAGUUAUCAAACCACAGUGCAUACUAUCAUCCAAAGAUUUAGAGAAUCUGGAACUGUCUCCGUGCGUAAGGGUCAAGGCCGGAAAACAUACUGGAUGCCAGUGAUCUUCGGGCCCUUAGACGGCACUGCAUCACAUACAAGAAUGCUACUGUAAUGGAAAUCACAACAUGGGAAUACUUCUAGAAAACAUUGUCGGUGAACACAAUCCACCAUGCCAUUUGCCGUUGCCGCCUAAAACUCUAUAGGUAAAAAAAGAAGCCAUAUCUAAACAUGAUCCAGAAGCGCAGGCGUUUUCUCUGGGCCAAGGCUAAUUUAAAAUGGACUGUGGCAAAUUGGAAAACUGUUCUGUGGUCAGACAAAUCUAAAUUUGAAGUUCUUUUUGGAAAACUGGGAUGCCAUGUCAUCCGGACUAAAGAGGAUAAGGAAAACCCAAGUUGUCAUCAGUGCUCAGUUCAGAAGCCUGCAUCUCUGAUGGUAUGGGGUUGCAUGAGUGCAUGUGGCAUGGGUAGAUUACACAUCUGGAAAGGCACCAUCAAUGCUGAAAGGUAUAUCAAAGUUCUAGAACAACAUAUGCUCCCAUCCAGAGAUUGUCUCUUUCAGGGAAGACCUUGCAUUUUCCAACAUGACAAUGCCAGACCACAUACUGCAUCAAUUACAACGUCAUGGCUGUGUAGGAGGAGGAUCCGGGUACUGAAAUGGCCAGCCUGCAGUCCAGAUCUUUCACCCAUCGAAAACAUUUGGCGCAUCAUAAAGAGGAAGAUGUGACAAAGAUGACCUAAGACAGUUGAGCAACUAGAAGCCUGUAUUAGGCAAGAAUGGGACAAUAUUCAUUUUCCUAAACUUGAGCAACUUGUCUCCUCAGUCCCCAGAUGUUUGCAGACUUUUAUAAAAAGAAGAGGGGAUGCCACACAGUGGUACACUUGGCCCUGUCCCAACUUUGUUGAGAUGUGUUGAUGCCAUGAAAUUUAAAAUCAACUUAUUUUUCCCUUUAAAUGAUACAUUUUCUCCAUUUAAACAAUUGAUAUGUCAUCUAUAUUAUGUUGUAUUCUGAAUAAAAUAUUGAAAUUUGAAACUUCCA